rnacentral:rRNA from 1 species
UACGAAGGGUGCAAGCGUUAAUCGGAAUUACUGGGCGUAAAGGGUGCGUAGGCGGUUGUUUAAGGCUGUCGUGAAAUCCCCGGGCUCAACCUGGGAAUGGCGAUGGAUACUGGGCAGCUAGAGUGUGUCAGAGGAUGGUGGAAUUCCCGGUGUAGCGGUGAAAUGCGUAGAGAUCGGGAGGAACAUCAGUGGCGAAGGCGGUCAUCUGGGACAACACUGACGCUGAAGCACGAAAGCGUGGGGAGCAAACAGG